rnacentral:rRNA from 1 species
UUCCGGAGAGGGAGCCUGAGAAACGGCUACCACAUCCAAGGAAGGCAGCAGGCGCGCAAAUUACCCAAUCCCGACACGGGGAGGUAGUGACAAUAAAUACUGAUACAGGGCUCUUUUGGGUCUUGUAAUUGGAAUGAGUACAAUUUAAAUCCCUUAACGAGGAACAAUUGGAGGGCAAGUCUGGUGCCAGCAGCCGCGGUAAUUCCAGCUCCAAUAGCGUAUAUUAAAGUUGUUGCAGUUAAAAAGCUCGUAGUUGAACCUUGGGCCUGGCUGGCCGGUCCGCCUCACCGCGUGUACUGGUCCGGCCGGGCCUUUCCUUCUGGGGAGCCGCAUGCCCUUCACUGGGCGUGUCGGGGAACCAGGACUUUUACUUUGAAAAAAUUAGAGUGUUCAAAGCAGGCCUUUGCUCGAAUACAUUAGCAUGGAAUAAUAGAAUAGGACGUGCGGUUCUAUUUUGUUGGUUUCUAGGACCGCCGUAAUGAUUAAUAGGGAUAGUCGGGGGCAUCAGUAUUCAAUUGUCAGAGGUGAAAUUCUUGGAUUUAUUGAAGACUAACUACUGCGAAAGCAUUUGCCAAGGAUGUUUUCAUUAAUCAGUGAACGAAAGUUAGGGGAUCGAAGACGAUCAGAUACCGUCGUAGUCUUAACCAUAAACUAUGCCGACUAGGGAUCGGGCGAUGUUAUCAUUUUGACUCGCUCGGCACC